CAAAAACAAAACCAAACCGAUUGUAAGGUCGGGACGGAAAGUCACGGGUCCUAUUUCACGGGAAAGCCGGGCUGCCGCA
rnacentral:ncRNA from 1 species